AUUCCAUGAUGAGGGCAUUUUCAUAAUAACUCUUUAAAUAGUUCCCAUGCCUUAUACAAGGACUCAUCAUCGGAUUGCUGAAAUGUAGUAAUUUCAUUUCUGAGUUU
rfam:Gossypium raimondii chromosome 1, whole genome shotgun sequence.